UACGUAGGGGGCAAGCGUUGUCCGGAUUUAUUGGGCGUAAAGAGCGUGUAGGCGGCCAAGCAGGUCCGCUGUGAAAACUCGAGGCUCAACCUCGAGCUGUCGGUGGAAACCGUGUGGCUAGAGUCCGGAAGAGGAGAGUGGAAUUCCCGGUGUAGCGGUGAAAUGCGCAGAUAUCGGGAAGAACACCCGUGGCGAAGGCGGCUCUCUGGGACGGUACUGACGCUGAGACGCGAAAGCGUGGGGAGCGAACAGG
rnacentral:rRNA from 1 species